GUUGCGAUAUUUUGAAGUGUAUCUCUUGCCAUAUACCUAUACCUUAACGAAAAACCGUGAGAAAACAUCUCGCUUUUACAUUCAACCUCCUUAUUAUUUGUUGAAGUGGUUUAUCAUGCUUACGUACCAUCAUUUUUAAUUUUUUUAAAUAAUUUUCAAGGGAAAAGCAGCAAUAUUAUCUAAAGGGCUAAUUUUUGACAUUUUAUGUCUUUGCUUUGGCACACAUAAUCGAAAACCGUUACGGAAGAGUGUUACGGUUACCCUGGUUAUAUGGUUACCUGGAUAUCGGUGGGUCACCGCUCCGGCAACAGCCCUGGUGGUGUACGGAGCUAUUGUCUCUAAAAAAAGGAUCUCCAAAGGAUUAGGAGAGCUGGCCUCAAACGUACUAACUGACUGGCGUACAACUUUACACGCAACAGCUACCUGAAUAGGAUCAGAUCCGCGGAGACUUGGCGCAACUUAGCGAGAAACUAGAAUAAAAACACACAGGGCAAGGCCUUUAGCUGGGCAAAGAAUGGCUGGAGGAUACGAGUGGUCCACUUCGACUGUGACUCGCGCAAACGGCACCUCUACGAACACACUGAGUGGAAUCUGGUACUUAGCACCUUCUUCUCGAGAGAGAAACGCCGGAGAGAGUUCAUACCACAUGGGCACAUGGCCCGCUAAACGAACACGGUGGUACCGUGGAUACAGACAGGGUAAGAUCAGCCAUCUUGAGAAUGAACCCGGGGAAGUCUCUAGGCGCUGAUGGGAUAACAGCUGGAUUGCUGAAGAAAGCGUUGCUGGUCCUCUAAGAAGAGAUCGUAGGCCUGUUCUGAACAUGCAUUGAGGAGGCCAUCUUUCCACAAACGUGGAAGGACACAAAACUAGUCGUGAUACUCAAGACAGGCAAAACGGACAUGUCUAAAUAGUCGUAUGGCUCACCGGCCUCAUCGACAUGAUGAGCCUGCUACCUGCAAUCGCUAAGGUAUUGGAGAUGUUGGUCAUACAGGAUCUGGAACGCGAGAUAGAGCUCAAAAAAUUCCCACAGCAGUACUGCUUCAUACUCGGAAGAUCCACAGUGUCUGCCAUAAAAACGCCGUAUGUUUGUACGGAUUCCAACAAUAGUCUUUGGGGUGUUCCUGGUUAGAUUAGGUUAGGUUCACUGCAAACUAUUAACAUGGUUAGCGACUACUUUGGAGGACGCACAGUGAGCUUUACCCUAGAAGAUGGACGGUACGCAAAGACAAUUGAGCAAGGGUGUCCCCAGGGGCUUAAUUGGGGUCGCGUUAUUAAAGGUUACCAUGACCGGAAUCGGCGGAGAGCGUCGUUGAAACGUAGGCUCAGGCCGGGCAGCAGAAGUACGAGCACGAAGUCCGUGUGAAAAAAUAUUAACUGAAUCUGACUUGUGAAAUUUUAGUCGUUAACAUGUGUUGCAAUGAAAACGUUACUAACAUGUGUGGCAAAGACUCUACAGGUUUAUUGGGGUAUUUAAGGUAUGCAUGUCAGAACAUGUCGGACCAUCGUCAAAAUAAAUUUUUAUAUGGUAAAUAGGUUAUUAUUUUAAAAAGAUUUUUAAACACACCAUGUGAUAACUGGUCGUCGAUAAUAACUUUUCUACAGCAGUGGAAUUAAACAUUGUUUUUACGGAUAGAUAGCGCACUAAGUAUGUUUCAACGGGAACGGUGAUAUCGCGGCGUCGGUCGGUGAGGGUGAAGGAGCUGCAACAAGGAGGGGCUCAGCGGCUCAACAUUUAAAACUCUCAUUUUCCAUCUACCAAAAAAGUUAAACUUAUAUUUUUCUUUUUUCGUAUACCACAUAUUUUGUAUUUUCCCUCACCAGAAUUAAUGUUGUAUAGUUAUAAAUAGUUUCAUUAAAUUUCCAUGACAAUGAACGAAUUAUUACAGAAUCAAAAUUGUAUAAAUAAUUUUAUUUAGUAAAUAUAUUUUAGUUUAAAUUUUUUAAACAUUAAUAUUUAACAAUUUUAAAUUCAUGUAGACGAUAAAAAGUAUUAUAAUAUAUUAUAUUGUAUCCAAGACAAUGUUCAAUUCUGGGAUAUUAAAUUUUUUUUCAACUGUGAGAAACCCUCAGCGGCUUGUGAAACCCGUAGAGACAAGUAUUUCACCCAUAAUUGACAUAGCAAUGAAGGUGAACAAAGUCAAACAGGACGACCUACAACCUUUGGAAGCGCUGAACAAACGCAUGUCUCGUGCGUUUAAGAUGAUCAAUCGAUUGGAAAAAAAUAGACACAGGGCAGAAGUGGCUCUGAGGUUGGAGAUAAUGGAGUUAUUAGAGGAUAGACGUUUGUUGAUCGAACUGAGAAAUGAUCCACCGGUUUCAAUUGGCACACAGACAUAUUUUGUGAAAAAACCAUGCCGUGUUAGGUUCGAAAUACCAGGAGUGACUUGGGAAGAAGAUACAAUAAAUGAAAUUUGGCAAUACCCAAAAAUGAUUAUAUCGUUUAUAACAAAAAUGUGGGUAAUUGUAAAGUUUAUUGUGAAACAUUUAAAAAAUCCAGUUAUGUUACACAAUAUGGCCGCAAAAAUAUAUGUUGGAUUUGAAAAAAUUAUCCAUAUAACAACGAAAAUUGAUAUUCCAAAUAACGAAACUACGAUAAACUUCAGAUUAUUUCCACGGAAUUCCACAUAAGUAUUAAACAUUUAAGAAAAUUCUUUCAGUGGUAUGUGGAAAUAAUAAAGCUUAUACAGACAAAGAAGUUUUAAAUACAAUAAUGAUUUUUUUAAACACUAUUACUUUACAGUUUUUAAAGUUGUGUAGACAAUAAAAAAUAUUAUUAUAUACUAGACUGUAAACACGACGAUGUUCGACUUCAAGAUAUUUAAUUUUUUGUUGGCCCCAAGACAACUUAUAUAAUUGGAGUGUUAUGACUGAAAGCUGUAAGAAACGUUAAAGAAAAAUGAUUAAUCCACUAUUUUACAUAAAUAUCCAUUUAUCAUGUGUUGUUUUUUACUAUUUUAAACAACUCAAGAUUUUUCUCUGAAUAUGAUGAUAAACACUGAGGACGAGUGGAAAAAAAUAUUCAGAACGAAUUUUAUACACGUUGGAAUAUUCCAAACUAUGUCGGAGCAGUGGACAAAAAACAUAAUUUAAUCUGGUGUCAGAAAAAUACUAAAUCUGAGGGACUCAUUUUCGAUUCCUGAAAUAGGUGAAGAUAAAAGCGAUGGACCCACUUAAGAGCUUGAAACCUGAAGAGUUACAACACUGCUUCGAACAAUGGAAUACAUGAAUAUAACGGUGUUUAAUUAAGGAUGGAGAGUAUACAGAAGGGAUCACAUUUAAUUAUCGUUAUUUUA